AAGCCUGGAGGAGAGAGCACGGGAGAGCCAGGAGCGGAGGCAAGGGCUGCAAAGCUCCGAGAGGCCUGGAGGCAGAGACCAGCUUGCUGCCUGCAGACUGCUCUGGAGGUGGAUGGGACUCUAUCUAGCUCUUGACCUGCCAUCAUGAGAAUAAAGGCAGAAGGGUAAAUCUGGUCCCUGCUAUUUCAUCUUGGCUGGAAGUGAUGUCUCCACUAUUCCUGGAGUAUGAACAUGGUAGCUGGACCUGAACAGCCAUACUGAACCAGGAGGUGAUUUUGAGAGGAAGUCCCUGGCAAAUCCACUUUAUACUACUAGGAUGUUAUACUUUGGCCAUGAGUCUGUCAAGAAGUCCUAUUGAGGCAUCCUUCCCAUUGUAUGAGAAUGAGUCAGAAGAAGAAUGUGAACUUUCCCAACUUUUUAUAGAAUGGAAAAGUCAGAAAACUGUCAUGCAAUUGCCAUUGACAACGGGGGAAGGUGCUUGGGUUGAGGACAACUUUAUGGAGAACCAGAGCAGUCAGUCCCAAGCGAUGUGCCAAGCUUUAUGCCAUUGUCUCCAUGAAAUUGGGGUUGUUUCCCAAUGAGAAUUCAUUCUUCUGUUCUUACAAAGUUAUCCCUCAUGAUCAUGUAUGCAGUGAUCUGUCCAAUUAGUUAUUUAGCAUAGGAACAAACACAUUUCUGAUUGAUUGGCAGGAUCUGCUAAUUAUGGAUUAGGAAGGGACACUUGGAAAUUUUAGAGUAGGCAAAUAUUAUUUUCAUAAACAAGUUAUUACAAUAAAAAGCAUUUCCCUAAGUGCUCAGGAAUGUCUUGUGUCUAUUUGUUCACUGACACUUGCUUCAGAGAGCUGCACAACACAACAGAGAUCCCAAGAAAAGUCAGUGACCUUAUGUUCUCUGUCAAAUUAAAAGGAAUUCUUCAUCUUGAAAAGUCUAAGUUUUAGCACAGUUCAAUUGGUUACAAUUCAACCUUCCAUUUUGUAAUGAGUAAGAACAAAUCAGCAAGGAGAGGGGUGUCUACAAUGACACAUAGUGACACAUGUCAGACUUUGAAUUAUUAAACAUUUGGAUUGGAAUCCUAGCUCUGCCACUUCAUGGUGAUGUGACCUUCAGACUUUCUGAACCUGUUUUCUCUUCUAUAAAAUGAGAAGAAUAAUAGAAUCUAUUGUGUAAGAUUAUUAUGAGGAUUAAAUAAACUAAUCUUCAUAAAAUGCUUAUAAAUUAACUAUUACAUCAUAACAAACAACCUAAUAUUCAUGGAUUAAAAUUAGAGAAUUCUUAUUUCUCCUGAGUCUGGGUCAGCUCAACCUCGCUGGUGCCUGUCCUGGGCUUGGUUGAUGUCACUUGAUUCACUGGAGUAUUCACAGGCCAGGAGAGUUACCAGAUGUUGGCUGGCUAUUAAAGUGACUGAGGGAACUGGGCCACACAUCUCCCAUCUUCCAGGGGUCUGGCCCAGGUUUAUUCUCAUAGCAGAGGUACAGGUCCAAGAAUUAAAGUGAAUAUAUUCAAGGCUUCUUAAGGCCUAGGCUUGGAAGUGGCACGUCAUUGUUUGCACCACAUCCUAUUAAUGAAAGCAAGCCACAUGGCCAAACCCCACAUCAAUGGAGCAGGAGGGAAGUGCAACAUCACAUGGCAAAGGUCAUGGAAACCAUGGAAACCUGGAGGUGUGAACAGUUGUGGCUAUUGAUGCAACCUACUACCAUGCACAGCACAAUGGUUAGCUCAUGGUAGGCAUUCAAGAAGCAGCGACUCAUAUUUUUAUUGUGGAGUAGGUGGGAGGGGAGGGGGUCAGGGAGGUAGUCCAGGGGGCAGGAUGCUGGCUUAGGAAUGAGCGUGUCGUUGAGAAACUGUAAUGGUUGAUGCUCUGGCCUUUCAUAGGCAACACUGAACUGGACACCAGCUACCCAUGUAUCUUUUAACUGAUCAAGGUCACCAAAUAGGAUGUUUAUAUCAUUCUUUUCAACUAUAGGACCCUGUUCAAAUAUUAAGAAAUCCUCAAAUUCUUACUCUGUAGCUGAACAGAAAAUGAAUAAUCCUGUCUUCCUUGAGGAGCCUUCUUUGUCACAAUGGCAAAGUGAUUCAUCCACCCAAGGUCACUGGUAAAUUGAAAUCUGAGCCAGGACUUUGAAGGAGUUACUAUCUCACAGCUAAGUGUUUUGACAAGGUGGGAUGAGCCAGGUUAAUAGAAAAAACCACUUAUAAAGGGGAUAUUUUUUAUCCACACACUUUGCUGGAAACCUUAACAUGAAGAUUGAUAGCAAGUUGGAAAAAUUGCACAGGAAAAAAGAAAGGCAUUACUGAGUGUAAGGAGUGUAAUUUGGUUUUGAAAUACCUCAUGAGCUAUCAAUGGGAGCUAAGAAGGGCCAGAGGGCAUUGCAAUGGAAUUGAGCAAAUGGAAGAGUUAUUUUAGGAAAAGCGAAACAGGGAAGAAAAUUUGGGCUAGGAAAAUUCAUUACAAACAUGUCAUUCAUUAUAAAUGAAGAGAAACAUUGCAAUCCUCUAUCAGCCAAGCCCGAAGCAGGCUUAUAUCUAACCCCUGUUCACACACACAUUAAGGUACA